UACGGAGGAUGCAAGCGUUAUCCGGAAUGAUUGGGCGUAAAGCGUCCGCAGGUGGCAAUGUAAGUCUGCUGUUAAAGAGUCUAGCUCAACUAGAUAAAAGCAGUGGAAACUACAUAGCUAGAGUACGUUCGGGGCAGAGGGAAUUCCUGGUGUAGCGGUGAAAUGCGUAGAUAUCAGGAAGAACACCGGUGGCGAAAGCGGCAUCCUGGACCGGCAUUGACGCUGAGGCGCGAAAGCUAGGGGAGCAAACGGG
rnacentral:rRNA from 1 species